rnacentral:lncRNA from 1 species
GAUAAUAUUCUUCAUUUUACCAACAUCCCAAAAAUGUGUCAAACCACAUAUAAUUGCAAAUCGAGAUUGGAGCACUCCAAACGCCCGUUCUACAUCCUUUCUUGCCGAUUCUUGUCGUUGUGCAAAUAAUUUUCGUUUUUCUCCUUGUGGCAUUGAGAUGGUCUUCACAAACGUGGCAAACUCUUGAUAAAUGUCAUCCGCUAAAUAGUAUCUCAUAUUAUAUUGGGUUCUAU